CGGAUUCUGGCUCAGGAUGAACGCUAGCUACAGGCUUAACACAUGCAAGUCGAGGGGCAGCAUUGGGAUAGCUUGCUAUUCAGAUGGCGACCGGCGCACGGGUGAGUAACGCGUAUCCAACCUUCCUGCCAGUAGGGAACAGCCCGGCGAAAGUCGGAUUAAUGCCCUAUGUUCUUCAAUGCGGACAUCUAAGUUGAAGGAAAGAUUCAUCGCUGGCAGAUGGGGAUGCGUCCGAUUAGCUUGCCGGCGGGUAACGGCCCACCGGGGCGACGAUCGGUAGGGGUUCUGAGAGGAAGGUCCCCCACACUGGUACUGAGACACGGACCAGACUCCUACGGGAGGCAGCAGUGAGGAAUAUUGGUCAAUGGGCGUAAGCCUGAACCAGCCAAGUAGCGUGCAGGAAUGACGGCCCUACGGGUUGUAAACUGCUUUUAUGCGGGGAUAAAGUGCGGCACGUGUGCCGCUUUGCAGGUACCGCAUGAAUAAGGACCGGCUAAUUCCGUGCCAGCAGCGGC
rnacentral:rRNA from 1 species